GGAUUAGAUACCCUGGUAGUCCACGCCCUAAACGAUGAGAACUAGACGUUGGGGGAGUUAGUCCCUUAGUGUCGAAGCUAACGCGUUAAGUUCUCCGCCUGGGGAGUACGGCCGCAAGGUUAAAACUCAAAGGAAUUGACGGGGGCCCGCACAAGCGGUGGAGCAUGUGGAUUAAUUCGAUGCAACGCGAAGAACCUUACCAGCCCUUGACAUCCCGCGAACUUUCCAGAGAUGGAUUGGUGCCUUCGGGAACGCGGUGACAGGUGCUGCAUGGCUGUCGUCAGCUCGUGCUG
rnacentral:rRNA from 1 species